AUGGCCAGCGUUGGCGGCGAUGCCAAGAAGAGCCUGACGCAGUGGCUCGGGGAGAAAGGGUUCGACGAGGAGGCCAUCAGGCGCAUGUCGAAGCGGUGCAGGAACCUGCCGAACCUCGACGCCGGCGAGGCCUCCGGCGUCUGGGACUACCUCCUCAACGACGUCAAGAUCGAGCACCGGAAGCUGCGGUACGUGGUGACCAAGUGCCCCAAGGUGCUCACCAUGUCCGUCAACGACAAGCUCAUCCCCACGGUCCAAUGCCUCACCACGCUGCAGGCCAAGCCCGGGGAGAUCGCGCAGGCCAUCAUCAAGUUCCCGCCGAUACUGUUCCACAGCGUGGAGGAGAAGCUCUGCCCUCUCCUCGCCUUCUUCCAGACGCUGGCCAUCUCCGAGAAGCAGCUCGCCAAGCUGCUCAUGGUCAACCCGCGCCUCAUCAGCUACAGCAUCCAGGCCAAGUUCUCCCAGACGGUCGACUUCCUCGUCGGCCUUGGCAUCGACAGGGAGGUCAUGAUUGGCAAGAUCCUGACCAAGGAGCCGUACAUCAUGGGAUACAGCAUCGACAAGCGGCUACGUCCUACUGCCGAGUUCCUCAAGUCGGCAGUCGGGUUGCAGGGGUCAUAUCUCCAGAGGGUCAUCAUGAAUUUCCCUAGCAUACUGUCGCGAGAUGUCGACAAGACUCUGCGGCCCAAUUUGGUGUUCCUGCAGAGCACUGGAUUCAGCAAGGAUCAGAUCAUGAAAUUGGUGGCUGGAUACCCUCCUGUUCUCAUCAAGAGUAUCAAGCAUUGCUUGGAGCCAAGGGUGAAGUUCCUGGUUGAAGAAAUGGGGCGGGACAAGGGCGAGGUGGUGGAUUACCCCCAAUUCUUUCACCAUGGUCUCAAGAGGAGCCUGGAGUACCGCCACAAGAUACUCAAGCAGAUGAACUCAAGGUGGAUCUGA
rnacentral:rRNA from 1 species